rnacentral:rRNA from 1 species
GAUCAUGGCUCAGAACGAACGCUGGCGGCAGGUUUAACACAUGCAAGUCGAGCGCCCGCAAGGGGAGCGGCAGACGGGUGAGUAACGCGUGGGAAUCUACCCAUCUCUACGGAACAACUCCGGGAAACUGGAGCUAAUACCGUAUACGUCCUAAGGGAGAAAGAUUUAUCGGAGAUGGAUGAGCCCGCGUUGGAUUAGCUAGUUGGUGGGGUAAUGGCCUACCAAGGCGACGAUCCAUAGCUGGUCUGAGAGGAUGAUCAGCCACACUGGGACUGAGACACGGCCCAGACUCCUACGGGAGGCAGCAGUGGGAAUAUUGGACAAUGGGCGCAAGCCUGAUCCAGCCAUGCCGCGUGAGUGAUGAAGGCCCUAGGGUUGUAAAGCUCUUUCAACGGUGAAGAUAAUGACGGUAACCGUAGAAGAAGCCCCGGCUAACUUCGUG